CCUACGGGUGGCAGCAGUGAGGAAUAUUGGUCAAUGGCCGGAAGGCUGAACCAGCCAUGCCGCGUGAAGGUCAGUGCCCUAUGGGCGUUAAACUUCUUUUGUGCAGGAGCAAUAAUGGUCACGUGUGGCCAGACGAGAGUACCGUACGAAUAAGCAUCGGCUAACUCCGUGCCAGCAGCCGCGGUUAUACGGGGGAUGCAAGCGUUAUCCGGAUUUAUUGGGUUUAAAGGGUGCGUAAGCUGGGAGGUAAGUCAGCGGGGAAAUGCCCCCGCUCAACGGGGUGAAGUGCCAUUGAUACUGCCUUGCUGGAGUGCGGAUGCGGUGGGAGGAAGGUGUGGUGUAGCGGUGAAAUGCAUAGAUAUCACACAGAACACCGAUUGCGAAGGCAUCUCACGAAUCCGCGAUUGACGCUGAUGCACGAAAGCGUGGGUAUCAAACAGGAUUAGAUACCCGAGUAGUC
rnacentral:rRNA from 1 species